rnacentral:rRNA from 1 species
AUUGAACGCUAGCGGGAUGCCUUACACAUGCAAGUCGAACGGAUUGGCGAACGGGUGAGUAAUGUAUCGGAACGUGCCCAGGAGCGGGGGAUGACUACGCGAAAGCGUAGCUGAUACCGCAUACUAUUGGAGCGGCCGAUAUCUGAUUAGCUAGAGGGUGGGGGAACGGCUCACCAAGGCGACGAUCCGUAGCUGGUCUGAGAGGAAGACCAGCCACACUGGAACUGAGACACGACCCAGACUCCUACGGGAGGCAGCAGUGGGGAAUUUUGGACAAUGGGGGAAACCCUGAUGCAGCCAUCCCGCGUGUGCGAUGAAGGCCUUCGGGUUGUAAAGCACUUUUGGCAGGAAAGCGGUACCUGCAGAAUAAGCACCGGCUAACUACGUGCCAGCAGCCGCGGUAAUUC